rnacentral:lncRNA from 1 species
UGUGCUUUGAGUUUUAGAUUGUUUUGCGAGAUAAAUCCAAGUUACGAUAGAAUAGUCACUUUAUUGAUAAAAACAGUUUUUGUUGAAAUAAACAGCUGAGAUUAGAUGAGUUUUGUUUCAGGUAACUUGUAAAUAACGAUUAAGCACAGUUCCUUUCAUCUCUAAUAGGUGCAACUUCCCUUUACGUGCCCAGUGAUUGGGCUGAGUUCUCUUCCACAGUGUCAGAUGUUAACAACAUGUCCUGAAGUUUCUUACCAACCUGUUCCUGUCAAUCAGUCUCUGGAAAUGUGGAACAAGGAGUCUUGAAGGGGAAAAAAUAGAAAUGCAGAGGGAGACCGACACAGUUUGAGCCAUAAAAUAUCUAAGCAGUUGAAAAGAGUGCUUAUCAACACACAUCACAAGAGAUCUUCAUCUCGUAUACCUAGAGACGCCACUCCACAACCUCAUUCUGCACCGCUCCUGCAUCUGUCAGCCAUUGAACCUGGCCAAGAGUCUUUCUAUAUUAUUCUCAAGAGAGUUUGA